rnacentral:tRNA from 1 species
AGCUCAGGUGGUUAGAGCGCACCCCUGAUAAGGGUGAGGUCGGUAGUUCGAGUCUACCC